CAGCCGCCACGGUAAAACGAAGGGUGCAAGCGUUACUCGGAAUUACUGGGCGUAAAGCGUGUGUAGGUGGUUGUUUAAGUCUGUCGUGAAAGCCCUGGGCUCAACCUGGGAAUUGCGAUGGAUACUGGGCGACUAGAGUGCGGUAGAGGAUAGUGGAAUUUCCGGUGUAGCAGUGAAAUGCGUAGAGAUCGGAAGGAACAUCUGUGGCGAAGGCGACUAUCUGGGCCAACACUGACACUGAGACACGAAAGCGUGGGGAGCAAACAGGAUUAGAUACCCGGGUAGUCCCUGUCUCUUAUAC
rnacentral:rRNA from 1 species